UGCGAGCUAGAAUUCUGGUGAAUUCACGAGUCUCAUAAGCUUGUUCAGAGGGGUUCGAUUCCGCUGCUCGCAA
rnacentral:tRNA from 1 species